rnacentral:rRNA from 1 species
UGAACGCUGGCGGCGUGCCUAAUACAUGCAAGUCGAGCGAACAGACGAGGAGCUUGCUCCUCUGACGUUAGCGGCGGACGGGUGAGUAACACGUGGAUAACCUACCUAUAAGACUGGGAUAACUUCGGGAAACCGGAGCUAAUACCGGAUAAUAUAUUGAACCGCAUGGUUCAAUAGUGAAAGACGGUUUUGCUGCCACUUAUAGAUGGAUCCGCGCCGCAUUAGCUAGUUGGUAAGGUAACGGCUUACCAAGGCAACGAUGCGUAGCCGACCUGAGAGGGUGAUCGGCCACACUGGAACUGAGACACGGUCCAGACUCCUACGGGAGGCAGCAGUAGGGAAUCUUCCGCAAUGGGCGAAAGCCUGACGGAGCAACGCCGCGUGAGUGAUGAAGGUCUUCGGAUCGUAAAACUCUGUUAUUAGGGAAGAACAAAUGUGUAAGUAACUAUGCACGUCUUGACGGUACCUAAUCAGAAAGCCACGGCUAACUACGUG